rnacentral:lncRNA from 1 species
UUCUAUAGCGAGGCUUGCAGCCUGCUGCAGAGGAAUAAAGUCUGAAAGACUCGUGCUUCGUCACCGUCUUUCAGCUGUGUGCCAAAUGUGUGUAUCUAAGGGACCGGUGUAGCAUUUCCAUCACUUCCAUCCCUCCUGUAUCCACGCAGUUUUGGCUCCCGACACACGUCCCUCUGUGCGUUUUCCUGACUUUUUUUUUUACCUGGGAGUGCUUCACCACCACUGCUAGCAAUGGAAGAGAAGAAGGAGCCCAGAGCAGGCAAAGCCCACGCGGCACGAGCAGUGUGACGGCAUUUGUCAAGACGGCUCAUGUCAGAGGCGGCUUCUGGGCCCGACGCUUGCAGUUUUGAAGGGGAACUGGAUCCAGCUGCCCAGCUGUCCUCGGCAGAGCUGCCGAAGCAGAUUCAGUAGCUGAGAGCUUUGCUUUACCCGCCAAGAAAGGUGGCUGCAGCUGCCAGCUGUGGCUUACUCAGACCCGCUCGGACAUCAGAGCAACGCCGGCUCGGUCGCUGCCAGACGGGGUGUUGCAGUUAUCCUCUUCAGGAGUUGCUGGCCAUUGCCACGAACAAAGGAGCUUUGUUCAGUAUAACCUAUGAGGGAAAGUUAUGUUCUUACCUCAUGGUGACUAAGGCUUAGUAAUGAACAUGAAGUAAAUCCUGGUAAAGAAUCAAGCUUUGUUAAAGGCUGCCAUGAAACACUGUGGAUGCUACGAGUCAACAUGCCUGAAGGAGAGGCGAGAGAUCCAACAAAGAGAAACCCAUGGAAAGUGGCUGUGUACAAAGAUACACGCCCAGAUGUGCAGAAUAUGGCAGCACAGUCAGCGAGAGGGAAGCGUGUCUGGAAGGGAGAUAACUGCAGAAGAGCUCUAUAACAAACUCUCUCUGCCUUUCUGAUGAACCU